rnacentral:rRNA from 1 species
UACGUAGGGAGCAAGCGUUGUCCGGAAUCAUUGGGCGUAAAGAGCGCGUAGGCGGCCCUGUAAGUCCGCUCUGAAAGUCAAAGGCUCAACCUUUGAAAGCGGGUGGAUACUGCAGGGCUAGAGUCCGGAAGAGGCGGGUGGAAUUCCUGGUGUAGCGGUGGAAUGCGCAGAUAUCAGGAGGAACACCAACGGCGAAGGCAGCCCGCUGGGACGGUACUGACGCUGAGGCGCGAAAGCGUGGGGAGCGAACAGG